rnacentral:rRNA from 1 species
CAGUCGCCACGGUAAUACGUAGGUGGCAAGCGUUGUCCGGAAUUAUUGGGCGUAAAGCGCGCGCAGGUGGUUAAUAAGUCUGAUGUGAAAGCCCACGGCUCAACCGUGGAGGGUCAUUGGAAACUGCUAAACCUGAGUGCAGGAGAGAAAAGUGGAAUUCCUAGUGUAGCGGUGAAAUGCGUUGAGGUCGGAAAGAACACCAACGGCGAAGGCAGCUUCUUGGUCCAUUCCUGACGUUCAUACACGAAAGCGUGGGGAGCAAACAGGAUUAGAGACCCGCGUAGUCCCUGUCUCUUAUACA